rnacentral:other from 1 species
UUUUGAAGCUUGUUCCUUUGCUAGAAUAUAAAUAAGCCAGCAUAUGUUUCACAUUGCUUUAGUGCUUUGUUCUUUUCUAUUUUAUUC